AAAUGAAUUGACGGGGGCCCGCACAAGCGGAGGAACAUGUGGUUUAAUUCGAUGAUACGCGAGGAACCUUACCCGGGCUCGAACGGCUAUAGAAUAAGAUUGAAAGAUUUUAGCCAGCAAUGGCUGUAGUCGAGGUGCUGCAUGGUUGUCGUCAGCUCGUGCCGUGAGGUGUCGGCUUAAGUGCCAUAACGAGCGCAACCCUUACCGUUAGUUACCAUCAGGUUAUGCUGGGGACUCUAGCGGGACUGCCACCGUAAGGUGUGAGGAAGGUGGGGAUGACGUCAAAUCAGCACGGCCCUUACGUCCGGGGCGACACACGUGUUACAAUGGGGGGGACAGCAGGCAGCUACCACGCGAGUGGAUGCGAAUCUUCAAACCCUCUCCCAGUUCGGAUCGAAGUCUGCAACUCGACUUCGUGAAGCCGGAUUCGCUAGUAAUCGCGCAUCAGCCAUGGCGCGGUGAAUACGUUCCCGGGCCUUGCACACACCGCCCGU
rnacentral:rRNA from 1 species